rnacentral:rRNA from 1 species
UGGGGAAUUUUGGACAAUGGGCGAAAGCCUGAUCCAGCAAUGCCGCGUGUGUGAAGAAGGCCUUCGGGUUGUAAAGCACUUUUGUCCGGAAAGAAAUCCUUGGCUCUAAUACAGUCGGGGGAUGACGGUACCGGAAGAAUAAGCACCGGCUAACUACGUGCCAGCAGCCGCGGUAAUACGUAGGGUGCAAGCGUUAAUCGGAAUUACUGGGCGUAAAGCGUGCGCAGGCGGUUUGCUAAGACCGAUGUGAAAUCCCCGAGCUCAACCUGGGAACUGCAUUGGUGACUGGCAGGCUAGAGUAUGGCAGAGGGGGGUAGAAUUCCACGUGUAGCAGUGAAAUGCGUAGAGAUGUGGAGGAAUACCGAUGACGAAGGCAGCCCCCUGGGCCAAUACUGACGCUCAUGCACGAAAAGCGUGGGGAGCAAAACAGGAUUAGAUACCCUGGUAGUCCACGCCCUAAACGAUGUCAACUAGUUGUUGGGGAUUCAUUUCCUUAGUAACGUAGCUAACGCGUGAAGUUGACCGCCUGGGGAGUACGGUCGCAAGAUUAAAACUCAAAUGAAUUGAC